UGUUUUCUUCUGUGGCAGUAUCGUAGCCAAUGAGGUUUAUCCGAGGCGCGAUUAUUGCUAGUUGAUCCAUUUCUAGAAGUAGAAUUGACCCAGUAGUACCUGGGUCAAAAGGUAUGAAUAUUUUUUUGACUCUUAUAUAUUAU